rnacentral:lncRNA from 1 species
AAGACAAGACCUUGCCUAGGAGGAUGCAGGCAAGCAAAGGAUUUACCAGGUAAGAAUUCACCACCAAAGAAGAUCACAAUGAGAUAAUCAGAUGGCUUACCUGAUAAAAAGGAAAAUUAUCCAUCUGCAGUGAGGAGCAACAUCUCCCCACGACGAGUCCGCACCUUCCGUUGCAACGAUUCAGAUUCCUUCUUGCAAAAGGUGACCAAGUGCUUCACAAGGGCUGCAGCCUCAUAGGGGCAGAACACACGUACACAAACACACGCACACACACACACAUUACGGAACCCAUGAAUGAAAUUUGCUUAUUUCUACUGUCUGGAGAAAAGUAUGACUAGCCAUUGAAUUGUCACACUAUGUUUUAGAGAACAAACGAUUAGAAGCAGGUAGGGCAGGCAGGAUGCCUACAGGAAAUGUCACAGCUAAUGAAGAAUGAGGGAACCAUCCAAAGCCAGUGCACUCCCUGGGUUCCUAAUGAUAUCACAGGUACAAGGCAGAAUCUCAGAAGAUCUGGAACGUCCCUGAUUUGAGUAUACAAGACAGCCCCUAAAAAGUCUCUGGACCAAUCUCUUUUGAUAUCCCCGUGUACUCAAAACCAGUUGAUUUAUGGAGAGAGGAGUUUAAGCCCUGAAGAUAUCAAAUAUUGGUUAUAUCAUGGGUGUCCAACUCUGAAUUUACUCACUUCAAAAGUACCUGCUAAUAAAGGCAUUUUCCCAGGCUUAAUUAACACCAUUAAGCCAAGCAAAUGAACUCUUACUUUGAGAAGUUUCCAUCUCACAAUGAGAGUCAGUGAGAAAGGGAGAGUAUUUUCAAUGCAUGCACCCCUCUUCCUUCGGUUUGCCUGUUUCUUUCAUGACUUCUGCAUCUUAACAAACAUCCAGCCAUCUGCACAAGGCAAAGUGGACCAGUGUCUAGGUCAAACAUCUUUUUCUCUAAUGCUUUCCCUGUGUUUUCAGUGAAUAGGCUCCUUUUGUUAAUUGUAAAAUAAAUUUAUGUUUUCUUUUAUGGAAUAUGGUCACGGAUUAUAUUGAAAAUGUUAAUCGUGAGAGAAUAAAUGUUUCUUUGCAGACUGUUUCUGAAGAAGGUUAACAUUCCAUUCACUGUACAAGAGUGCUUUUUAAUGAAUAAAAAAUAUUCAUUAAAUAUAGCUUGUCAUUUAGUAGCAGACACGUGAUUCAUCAGAGUGGUAACAACACCAACUGCUUUAAUUUUUCUUCAUCUAAGACCUGCCAUGAAGGAAAAGACAAGAUUUUUAAAAAUUAGACCCUUAAAACUAUGUAUUUAAAUUUUAAAUGUUCACUUUUUAAACAUAAAAAUGUAAACUAAAAAGAACCGUAAAACUUUAUGCUGCUCUCACCCUUGUGUUUGCUGGCCUCUCUGGACUUUUGCUAAAGGUCUCCCAUUUCUAUCUGUCUACCUUCUAAUAAUGAACUGCAGUUGGGCUGGCAUAUUAUAUCCCAUAUACCUUUUGUGGUAUCUUAGUUAAUGAAGAAAAGUUUUUAUUUUUCACUUUUCCCUGGCUUAUUUCCAUCAACAAAGACUGAAGGGGCCAUUUCCUUAUUUCUGGGAGACCCCAUGUGAUCUCAUCUCAGAAAAGAGAAGAAUGUUAUUUCUUGGCUGUCUCUACUUCCCUAGAUGGUGGGUGCAGGAACUUGACAGGAGGACACAGCCAUCUCUUUGCCAUUACUCUGUGGGGCAUGGGCUCUGCACAGACAGGAUGGUCUCCAGUUGAGCUGAGGUCUGAACCCCGUUUGUGAUAAUUCACCUAAAUGGCACGGGGGAUGAAGAGAGAAUGAAACUAUAACAAGAAACAAAGAAGGAAAAAAAUCUACUGACCUUCCUAGGAACCUCUCACAGUCCUCACACUGUGUGUGGGUGUCAUUACAGCCAAGUGCCAUCUUAUUUCACAUGGCUUAGUGAUCAUUGCUGAAGAAGUGGAGGAAAGAGUGUGAGAGACAGAGGAACAGCAAGCUUUCUGUGAGACUGGGUCUCCUAGAAAUGCCAGAGAGAUUACACCCAUAGAGUCUCAUCAACAUGGCUGCCUAAAUAAGACCUGAACAAUGACAACACCAAUGGCCAUACUAACAUGCAACUGGGGAAGAUAAGGAGGUUCACACUAGAGGAAGAACUAUGGACAAUAGGGAAAUGAUAAGAACUGGAGAAAUGGUUUUCCCUGAGGAAGAACUCCCCAAUUGUUAUCUGCUAUAAAGUGGUCAGCCCUGGCAUAAGAUGCAUACAGGGGGAAGACAUGGAGAAGGCCUUCGCCUACAGAGUCACAGUCUAGUCUCUGAAAGAAGGCAUCUUUGCAUUCUCAGCCACGAUCACCACCAAGCCUGCCACUAUCAAGCCAAAGACAAUUUCUGCAGGGACUAGCUGGAGCUCCUCCCCCAUGUCCAAGAUCCUGAGAACCCACAGUUCUGGGGAGCACCGAACCAGUACGGAGUCAAACUCCCCCAUCCAGUCUCCACAAGUGGCCGUGCUCAGUGGUGGGACAGACUUGUGAUGACACAACCCUACAUCCUACAACAUGUGAAAGGAUAUGACUGUUUGGAAAUUCUCUUGCCAAAUGAACACAUCAACUAAAUUUCAGAGGAGCAUUCAGGGGAGAAGAAUCUCUCAGUCUGUCAGUACCUUAGUAUCCACAAGUCGACAUUUGUUGAACAUAAAAAAAUGAAAAGAGCAGAAUUUCUGAGUGUGAGAGGUUGACAAUGAGGCUUCUGACAAAGCUUCAUGUUUCAAAUAUAAUAUUCAAUGUCAUGUUUUUCUUUUUCUCAGCACAUUUUUUGAAAAGGCAAGUGCUUUCUGGCUCUGCUGGAUAUUUGUGAAGACACGGAUCACAUGAGAACAUAAAACUUUGUAAGCUUUAAAGCCUUGCUUCUCGUCCGAGUGUGGCAGUGGAACAACAGCAUCUCCAUCUUUGAGGGGCUUGUUAAAAUUUUGGACCAUUUCCUUUGUCCCACAACCUGCCAGAUCAGAAAGGACGUUUUGACGAGCUGCCCAUGUGAUUCCAGUAGACACUGUUUAAAAGUGUUGCUGUAGAGUGCCGCUAUAACAGGAACUUGAGAACUUAACAUAACUGAUGUUAUGACGCAAGUACCAUUCCCUAAUGCUCCUGCAAUCUUUUCAUAUCACCUCAAGUUGUAGGGACAGCCAACCAUAAAAUUAUUUCUGUUUCUACAUCAUAACUGUAAUUUUUCUACCGUUAUGGAUUGUACUAUAAAUAUCUAAUAUGCAGGAUAGUCUUAGGCAAUCGCUGUGCAAGGGUCAUUUGUCCCCACCAAGGGUUCAUGACCCACAGAUUGUGAACUACCCAUUUAGACCCUAAAAGCUCAGCACAUAGACAGUACACAACAAAGACAAAGAUCUGAUCCAUCAAAGUUCAUAGUUCUAGAACCAUCUCUAAAUGCACCACCUUUGGAUUUUUGGCUUCUGUAGUUCUGCUUUGGCUAACUGUUCUUACUAACACAAUUCCGGAGGUGGUUUCACUCUGAGAAAGGUUCAGGAUUAUACAGGAUCAUGAAUACCCAGUGUUGUCUCUACCCAGCUGAUAAAGACUUUCUAUUGUCUUAAACCCAUGUCCAUGCACUCUUCUCUGGUGGACAACCCACAACAUUAGCUAAUACUUUCACACCUCUCAUAAGAGCUUUUAUUUUUAAUUAAAUUUUAAUUUUGCAUGCAAAAUAAUGUUUUUAUUAUGACAUUAUAUAUAUUUAUCCAUAUAUGCAUAAAUAUAUACAUAUAUGUCAUUACAUAUACAUAUAUAUAAUGUCUAUAUAUGUAUAUAACAAAUCAUUGUUCUUAUUUGUUUACCCCUUACUCCUCUACCCUUCUCCAACCUCUUCUUUUUGGUCUCCUUUCUCCUCCUAAAUAAACCUCCCUUCUGAUUUCA